GUUCGAAUCCCGUGCAACUAAGGUUGAUUUAUAUAAUAUUAAAUAACUUAACUUAAAUUUCAAUUUCUAAAACACAAGAUGUCAUAGUUUUUGCAUUUUCCCUCAUGUUUUAAUGUUGUCUUUCUUUCUUUAAACCUGUAGAUCUGACGGAAAUUAUUGACUUUUGUCUCUGUAGUGUCAUAAUUUUUUGUAGUUUCUGGUCGGUAUAGCAUUAGUCCGGGGAACAAAUGAUUUUACACUUGCUCAAAUACCAAAAAUUCAGAUAUUUCUACGUCUUUUUCGGUUUUAGUUGACAAAUUCGGGAUAGAAUUGAC
rnacentral:lncRNA from 1 species